rnacentral:sRNA from 1 species
AUUGAAUGGGAAUAAAAGGUACAUGUUAAUUGAGUCCGGAAUGUUGAUUUAACGGCAUUUUCGGAAGAUACAAAGGAUACGCUUGGCGGGGGAAUUGUUACGUUCCCCGCCAAAAUCCCCGCCAAGUUUGGGCCGAAUGAGGGCUGAGUUGGCGGGGAUUUUUA